GAGAGAGAGAGUCAGUUUUGGGAUUGUCACAGGGUUGGGAAGGAGCUGCUCCUUCGUUGUGUGUGUGUGUGAGGGGUACUUUAACUAAGGAACAUAGGAGAGGACAUACUGUAUAAACCUACAAUAUGAGCAGAACCACCUUCUUUGAGGUGGAGGUUCUGGAUGGCAGGACCAGGCAACAGCUGUGUUUUCUAGAUAAGGUGGAGCCCCA